CAGGCCGAAUAUCUAAGGUUUCCAGAGUAAAGCUGAUCUGCUCUGGGUAAGUCGGGACCUAAGGCGAGGUCGAAAGACGUAGUCGAUGGAUAACAGGUUGAAAUUCCUGUACCGCAUAUAAACAGAACUGUGGGGACACAGACAGGGAAUGGAAUCCGGGAAUGGAUAUCCCGGUGCAAGCGAGGUAGGAGUGCUGUUGGCAAAUCCGCAGCACGAUCUGAAGACGUGACGCGUACCGAACAUAAGUAGGGAAGUCCAGGCCCCUGGCUGUCAAGAAAAGCCGCUAUUGUUUUAUAUGUGCCCGUACCGCAAACCGACACAGGUGGAUGAGGAGAGAAUCCUAAGGCCGACGGGAGAAGUAUUGUUAAGGAACUCGGCAAAAUGACUCCGUAACUUCGGGAGAAGGAGUGCCAUGAGAGUGGCCGCAGAGAAAUGGCCCAAGCAACUGUUUAGCAAAAACACAGGUCUAUGCAAAACCGCAAGGUGAAGUAUAUGGGCUGACGCCUGCCCGGUGCUGGAAGGUUAAGGGGAGAGGUUAGCGCAAGCGAAGCUUUGAACUUAAGCCCCAGUAAACGGCGGCCGUAACUAUAACGGUCCUAAGGUAGCGAAAUUCCUUGUCGGGUAAGUUCCGACCCGCACGAAAGGCGUAAUGAUUUGGGCACUGUCUCAACGAUACACCCGGUGAAAUUGAAAUACCAGUGAAGAUGCUGGUUACCUGCGCCAGGACGGAAAGACCCCAUGGAGCUUUACUCCAGUUUGAUACUGGGAUUCGGCAUGGUAUGUACAGGAUAGGUGGGAGACUGAGAAGGUAUGACGUCAGUUGUACCGGAGUCGCUGUUGGGAUACCACCCUUACCAUGUUGGAUUUCUAACCUGUGGCCGUAAGCCGGUCAGGGGACAAUGUCAGGCGGGGAGUUUGACUGGGGCGGUCGCCUCCGAAAGGGUAUCGGAGGCGCUCAAAGGUUCCCUCAGAAUGGUUGGAAACCAUUCGAAGAGUGCAAAGGCAGAAGGGAGCUUGACUGCGACACCGACGGGUGGAGCAGGUACGAAAGUAGGACUUAGUGAUCC
rnacentral:rRNA from 1 species